UGCUACAGGCUGCCAGGCAGAAAAUAACUGCACAGGCCUUUAAAGCAGGCUGGGCAGGGUGGAGGAGAGGAAGGGUAACAGUCCAUUGAGGUGACAGAGACUUCCUGGGUGCCUGUUUCCUGUAAAGAGGUCUUGGAGUGAGUGAGAGGCCAAAAGGAGCUGGAGGAACAAAGAGACAAGCCAGUCGACAUGUGGACCUUAAAAUCUGGAAGCACAGUGCAAACUGCAGGUUUUUCACUCACCGCGAUCUCCCAGUCUGUGUCUGUAACACAUAAGGGCAACUUUACUUGGGCAGAGAUGGGGCAUGUAACUGCAUAAACCACUAACCUGAUCUUCUGGGCAGAUGCUUCCUUCUAAGAUGGCUUGGAGAUAUUACCACUCCUUCAAGACAAGUGUUUUUCAGCCCAACAGAGGUGGUGGUAAUGCAAGGAGUGAAGUGAUAUGGAAUUUGGCCCGGAGAAUUCAUUCAGUAAUAAAUAAUGGAUCACUUUUCAUUUGAAGUAGACACAUUACCAUGACAAUGCAGCGACAGAGACAGGGGUGUAGGAGAAGCCUGCCAAUGCAGGGAUGAUCUGUCUCUCUGGAGGAGAGCAAGUCAGAGCACAGGGAUGUGCAGUGAACAUGAAACCCUGCUACCCGAGGGUCGGGACCACUCUCAGCAUCCUUCAGGUGCCAGCAGCCCCCUUCCUCUCCUUGUCACCCCCUUUAGAUGAGCCUCACCUGCAUGUGGUGAUCUCCUGAUGUCCACCAAGGAGUGCUUGCAGGCAGCAGGUCGGUCACCAAGUGUACCAUACCUGCUGGGAGACAUGCAGAGCGAGGCCAGAAAAAAACUGGGAUGCCCUGUAAUGAGAAGAAAGGACUUUGGGGAGAACUUAUGUCCCAGGAGGGAACUAACGUGAAGUGGUGGGGACAAGUUGCACGUAUUUGAGACUUCGCUGUGGAUGGGAACCUGCAAACAAACAGUCUGAGGAGAAGUAAAACAGUUAGGAUGUCUCCGAGAGAAAGGCAGAUCACAACUUGGCACAAAGCUGCCUUUGUUGGCAGUGCAUAAUUGAUGUGAAAUAAAUUACAAGCCAAAAAAAAAGAAAUCAGCCUGUUCUUCGGGGCACUGCCUCUAAUGGGGGUUGAACACUUUCUAUUUCUGGCUGAAUUAUUCUGAUGUGUGAAGCGUGACAGAUUGAAUUGCUGCCCAGCAUCUUAUUAGGUUUAUUUACUAAAAGGCAAAAAGCACAGGAAGACAAGAUAAUCAUACCCGAUUUCUGCCUCUCCUCCCCACUGUCACCCUCACCCAAGAGUGCAGCAGCACACUGCUAAUUUUAUUAGGGAUCCCUGAGAAACACAGGUGGCAAUCAGAGGCAGGGACCCUCGACUGUCAGGACGUGUCACCACAGCAUCACUGACAGAUGCCCUGCUGCUGUCCCAGAGGUCGGGUGGCAAAGAUGCUCUUGGUGGGACGCAGCUUGUACCCCAUGGGGUGAGGCAGAAGCAGAGCCAGGAUGCCAAUGCUCUGUCCCGCUCACUGAAGCCCACAUAGUCACCAUGGGGGAGUCAGAGAAUAGGGAGAGGGCUGGGAGAUGGGCAGCUUCUCCCAUUUUUCAUGUCUUUGAGGGCAAAUUCAGACUAAAUCCCUUCUAGUGGGAGGCUGUUCCGCUCUGUACCCAGACUUCCCCAUUCAGAGAGUCCCCAGGUGCUUCAGAUGCUGUCCUCACAGCCACAUUCCAUGGAUAAAAUUACAUCUGUAUGUGAACCUAGAGCUCCCAAAAUGAGGAUAUAUGCUUAUUAAAAACAUAUUUAUUACUUCAAAGAAGUCCUCAAGCAGCAUUAUUAUUAGCUGGUAAUAUUGCUGUUUGCUCCCCAUUGCCUGUAGUGCUCUUUCAGAAGUCUGAAAAGAACAUUUCUUUCCCUGCCAAUUUUCUCUUCUGGCUUCGCUACACACUUAAUGGUUAGUAGCAGUGCUGUUCACAACUGUUAUUUCUGAGGAAUUCGGGGCUGUGACAGGAACAGUGUAUGUACAAGCUCUCAGGCGAUGCUUUUGCAGAGUUUCGUUCCAUUUCGUACCUAGAUGAGGCCCUCAGCCUGCAAAGAAGGAAAGAUGUUCUCCUGACCCCGAACAGAGUCCAUCCCCAUGCCAGCAGGAAGGUACCCGAGGACAGCUCCUGGCAAGGCACCCACCCCACCCAUGCUUUAAUCCACAGAUGAAUUGCACAGGACCUGCUAUGUGUGUGCGGCCUGCCCUCAGAGUGCCCUGCCCAGCAGAGAUGGGGCAGGAAGCAGAGACCACACGUCCUCACAGCACCAGGCAGAGAGAAGGAAAAGGGCAGGCAAAACUCUGGCCCCAAGGAAAAAUUGAGGACCCUUUCUUUAAAAUAUCAAACAAUGUAUGAGCAUGUUUUAUCUCCACUCCAGACUUGCACCCCUGUGCUGUUUGGAAAAGAUUCCCCGUCUUAUGUAGCUAAUGCAAUUCUGUCUGUAAGCAUGAGCUUGUCUCAGGGAGACAAAUGCGUUACCAGCAUAACCGAGUUUUCUGCAGCACUCUGGCUCAUGGGCUCAGAUCCGUCAUUUCAUUCAAAAUAUGCCGGGUACAGGAUUUAAGUGAGUGUGCUUUUGGGCGAAGGUUAAAGAACAAAGCUGGAGUUUUCCUCCAGCUGUCCUUCAGACCCUGAUCCUGGAGCAGACGUUGGAUCUCAGGUUGCACUCGGUCUCUUCUAUACCAAAACAAAUGUAAUUAAAAACAUUGGCCAUGCGAUGAACCAGAAAGAGCAAACGUCUUAACUCUGGUUUGCCCAUACCUGAGAUAAAUGUUGUAACCACUGGGCUUUUGGAUAUUUCUGCAGGAUUUAUAACUCCUAGCUGUGCACUAUGUGUUUGGAGGAGGGGCUGGUGUUAUGUUUUUUCUUUCUUUAUCUUUUUUUUUUUUCCAUCUUUAAACAGCUCUAUGUUUGAUCCCAUGUGAAACAAAUAGAUUGAAAAAUGACAUUUUUUUUUUUUGUGAAAAGGCAGGUCUAGUGGGUAAAUUAGAUUUCUUCACUAUUAAGUUACAGGGAAAAAAUAAAAAACAAAAACAGAAGAAUGAAUCAAAAGAAAGGCUAAGUGACCAGUGCAAGGCAGUGAUGCUGUUAAAAGAAAAGACAGCCCAUUUAUAUUGGUGGCUUCGGGAAGUUUGGUGACUUUCAUUCGCCUAAAAGGUAGGAACCUAACUUUAGGUGCCCAUGUUCAAGCAUUUUGCCCAGUGUGCUUUGGGAAUAGUCCCAGUUCUUUCAGAAGCCAUGCCACCCCAAUGUUAUCUCUGACCCUCUGAGGCCAGUAUAGGUUGGAUGGGACCUCUGGAGAUCACCCAGAGCUUAGGUCAGGUUUCUGGGCCUUUGUCCAGCCAAGCUGUGAGCAUUUCCAAGGAUGAAGAUCUCAUGACCGUGUCAACUGGGCAGCCUGAUGCAGUGCUCCACUAUUUGCCAUUCCCUUUAUGAAAAGACCACGACAAACAGAAGCUGUCCAUCUAUCAGAGAAAUUCAGCUCUCAUGCUAUAAAUGUAAGUCCUGUGGCUAGGACCCAGCCACCGCUCCCUCCCCUCAGUUCCAGGAGCCUGCUCUCCCAGGAGACUGCCCUUUAAACACCACCGCCAUGGCAAUAUCUCAGGCAGGUACAGGGGAGGAUGUCCCAGAUUUUAGCAACAUAUUGAGACGUGCAUGGGAUGGACUGGUUUUGUGUGAUUUUGUCCCACCCCCGCUCACCUCUGGGGCUGAUGGCAGCUGAUUCAGGAGCAGGGGUGGUUAGGGUCCCACUGCCAGGGGGCCUGACGCUGGGCAGGGACGGUGUGACAUUUGCCCAUGGCCCAUUCCCUCAGCAGUUUUCUGGUUGUUUAAAGUUCCCUGUGGCACUUCCAGCAUUUAGAUGAAAGAAUUUAGCUGCAGGAUGGGUUUAGUGCCCAUCACCACAGUAUGUUUAGCACAAUGCAGGAAGACAUAAACAAGUGCUGUUUAAAAUACUCUGCUGUCCUGGGUGGUCUUCAUCUUUCCAGACAGAAGUGUGGUGGUUUUACUCGGGUGGGUGGCUGAGCUCCACCA